rnacentral:rRNA from 1 species
GACGAACGCUGGCGGCGUGCUUAACACAUGCAAGUCGAACGAUGAAGCCUAGCUUGCUAGGUGGAUUAGUGACGAACGGGUGAGUAAUACGUGAGUAACCUACCUUUAACUCUGGGAUAAGCCUGGGAAACUGGGUCUAAUACCGGAUACGACCAAUCUCCGCAUGGGGUGUUGGUGGAAAGCGUUAUGUAGUGGUUAUAGAUGGGCUCACGGCCUAUCAGCUUGUUGGUGAGGUAACGGCUCACCAAGGCGACGACGGGUAGCCGGCCUGAGAGGGUGACCGGCCACACUGGGACUGAGACACGGCCCAGACUCCUACGGGAGGCAGCAGUGGGGAAUAUUGCACAAUGGGCGCAAGCCUGAUGCAGCGACGCCGCGUGAGGGAUGACGGCCUUCGGGUUGUAAACCUCUGUUAGCAGGGAAGAAGAGAGAUUGACGGUACCUGCAGAGAAAGCGCCGGCUAACUACGUGCCAGCAGCCGCGGUAAUACGUAGGGCGCGAGCGUUGUCCGGAAUUAUUGGGCGUAAAGAGCUUGUAGGCGGUUUGUCGCGUCUGCUGUGAAGGCCGGAGCUUAACUCCGUGUAUUGCAGUGGGUACGGGCAGACUAGAGUGCAGUAGGGGAGACUGGAAUUCCUGGUGUAGCGGUGGAAUGCGCAGAUAUCAGGAGGAACACCGAUGGCGAAGGCAGGUCUCUGGGCUGUAACUGACGCUGAGAAGCGAAAGCAUGGGGAGCGAACAGGAUUAGAUACCCUGGUAGUCCAUGCCGUAAACGUUGGGCACUAGGUGUGGGGAACAUUCCACGUUUUCCGCGCCGUAGCUAACGCAUUAAGUGCCCCGCCUGGGGAGUACGGCCGCAAGGCUAAAACUCAAAGAAAUUGACGGGGGCCCGCACAAGCGGCGGAGCAUGCGGAUUAAUUCGAUGCAACGCGAAGAACCUUACCAAGGCUUGACAUAUACUGGACCGCAUCAGAGAUGGUGUUUCCCUUCGGGGCUGGUAUACAGGUGGUGCAUGGUUGUCGUCAGCUCGUGUCGUGAGAUGUUGGGUUAAGUCCCGCAACGAGCGCAACCCUCGUUCUAUGUUGCCAGCACGUUAUGGUGGGGACUCAUAGGAGACUGCCGGGGUCAACUCGGAGGAAGGUGGGGAUGACGUCAAAUCAUCAUGCCCCUUAUGUCUUGGGCUUCACGCAUGCUACAAUGGCCGGUACAGAGGGUUGCGAUACUGUGAGGUGGAGCUAAUCCCUAAAAGCCGGUCUCAGUUCGGAUUGGGGUCUGCAACUCGACCCCAUGAAGUCGGAGUCGCUAGUAAUCGCAGAUCAGCAACGCUGCGGUGAAUACGUUCCCGGGCCU